GUGUGCAAUUGUACUCAAGGACAGAAUGCAGCCCUUUUGUGCACAUUCUUAGGAAAUUGCAAAGCACCACUAAUUGAUCCAGUUUCCACUAAACUGACAAUACAACAAGCCUGGACAAUACUACAAAUCAGACUGCAUUUCAUGCAACAACUGCAUAAAUUGUGGCAUUACACAUUGAAGAUUACAAAACACCAGGGAUGUCAAAUAUAUGGCCCCAUGGAGCCUCUGUAUCCAGCGCAACUGAGCUAUUGAUGUGCAAUGGAAGUUGGGGCCACUACCCCUGGACUCGCUGUCUUGGACCCCUUGUAAUUGCUGCUGGACCUAUUGCCACCACAGCUGCUAGGACCAAGGAUAUAAUGGACCAUUAUAUAAGACAGAUGAGGUUCUUCAAAGAUGUGCAAUAUACAUGAACACAAAUGGAUGAAUGGUAACCAUUUUGUUCAGUAAUUUGAAAAAAAUGUAUUUUAAGUACAUUCCUUUUAUU